rnacentral:rRNA from 1 species
UACGGGGGGAGCAAGCGUUGUUCGGAUUUACUGGGCGUAAAGGGCGCGUAGGCGGCCAGCACAAGUCAGUUGUGAAAUCUCCGAGCUUAACUCGGAAAGGUCAACUGAUACUGUGCGGCUAGAGUGCAGAAGGGGCAACUGGAAUUCUUGGUGUAGCGGUGAAAUGCGUAGAUAUCAAGAGGAACACCUGCGGCGAAGGCGGGUUGCUGGGCUGACACUGACGCUGAGGCGACGAAAGCUAGGGGAGCGAACGGG